rnacentral:misc_RNA from 1 species
GAUGAAGAACGUAUCAAAAUGCGAUACUUGGUGUGAAUUGCAGAAUCCCGUGAACCAUCGAGUUUUUGAACGCAAGUUGCGCCCGAAGCCUUUUGGCCGAGGGCACGUCUGCCUGGGCGUCACGCAUCGCGUCGCCCCCCACAAUUCUCCGUAAAGGGAACAUGUGUUUUGGGGGCGGAUAUUGGUCUCCCGUGCUCAUGGCGUGGUUGGCCGAAAUAGGAGUCCUUUCGAUGGACGCACGAACUAGUGGUGGUCGUAAAAACCCUCGUCUUUUGUUUCGUGCUGUUGCUCGCAAGGUAAACUCUUUAAAAACCCCAAUGUGUCGUCUCUUGACGACGCUUCGACCGCGACCCCAGGUCAGGCGGGACUACCCGCUGAGUUUAAGCAUAUCAAUAAGCGGAGGA